rnacentral:lncRNA from 1 species
GUGGUGGUUGCGAACGGCGGUGGUGGUUGCGAACGGGGUCUCCGACUCUCCGGUGAAACGACGAUUGCGGUGGAAUGGAGGUCGACGGAUGUGGGACGGUUGUAGUGGACUGGAGGUCGACGGAGGUGGGACAGAGAUGAAGUGGGAGAUCGACGAUUUGCUGCAGUGGACUGGAGGAUCUACCGUGAAACCCUAGAUGCGAUUUCACGUGUCGAGGCAGAGAUGUAACAUAUGUUUGAGUAACAAAAAUCAACUUUGA